rnacentral:lncRNA from 1 species
CUUGGGGAUCGAGCAACUGGAGAUGAGUUCAGCUCUGUAAUGACAGUGUGACCUUAGGUGAGUCACUUGCCCUCUCUGAGCUGCCCUCUGUGCCUGGCCCUGCUUUCUGCCUGUAGUCACCAGAAUCAGGCAGACAGACAAAUUUUACAGAAAGGAGAAAGAUUCCGGUGUCGUUGUGUGCUGAGAGCCUCCUUUUCUCACGUAGUCUGAGCUCAGUCGGAAGUGCUCAUCGGCUCCUCUGGUACCUUCUCUCUGCAUUAAAUUCCCCUCAGUCGUGCACCCCUGAACUCCUAUACUAUAGGAGACAGACACUGCUGGGCGGCGAAGCUGGGACUGACUCAGCAAGGGCAUGGUGACCAUGGAGUUUGAAGCCCCUCCCACCUGCUCCUUCUCAGAGUGUCAGGCUCUGGGCAGGGUUCACCUGCUACCAGAUAUCUGAAGGCAGAGAUUCCAGGCUUGUGUUGUCCUGGGCACCCCAUGGCUGAAGACCCCAGACCUUUCCAUGUUGAAGAGGACUCAGUCUGGGAAAAGAAACAUUAUAUUAUAAUCCAAUAUUAAAACAUGAACCUUA